rnacentral:rRNA from 1 species
CCGCACGCGCGUUACAAUGAUGAUAUCAACGAGUUUUAUUUAUCCUUACCUGGAAAGGUUGGGUAAUCUUAUUAAAUGUCAUCGUGCUGGGGAUUGAUGCUUGUAAUUAUUCAUCAUGAACCCCAGGAAUGCCUAGUAAGCGCAUGUCAUCAUCAUGUGCUGAUUACGU